GACAGCCCCGUACACAAAAGCGCAUGUGCUGUGAGCUCGAUGAGUAGGGCGGGACACGUGGUAUCCUGUCUGAAUAUGGGGGGACCAUCCUCCAAGGCUAAAUACUCCUGACUGACCGAUAGUGAACCAGUACCGUGAGGGAAAGGCGAAAAGAACCCCGGCGAGGGGAGUGAAAAAGAACCUGAAACCGUGUACGUACAAGCAGUGGGAGCACAGGUUUACCUGUGUGACUGCGUACCUUUUGUAUAAUGGGUCAGCGACUUAUAUUCUGUAGCAAGGUUAACCGAAUAGGGGAGCCGGAGGGAAACCGAGUCUUAAUUGGGCGUUAAGUUGCAGGGUAUAGACCCGAAACCCGGUGAUCUAGCCAUGGGCAGGUUGAAGGUUGGGUAACACUAACUGGAGGACCGAACCGACUAAUGUUGAAAAAUUAGCGGAUGACCUGUGGCUGGGGGUGAAAGGCCAAUCAAACCGGGAGAUAGCUGGUUCUCCCCGAAAGCUAUUUAGGUAGCGCCUCGUGAAUUCAUCUCCGGGGGUAGAGCACUGUUUCGGCUAGGGGGCCAUCCCGGCUUACCAACCCGAUGCAAACUGCGAAUACCGGAGAAUGUUAUCACGGGAGACACACGGCGGGUGCUAACGUCCGUCGUGAAGAGGGAAACAACCCAGACCGCCAGCUAAGGUCCCAAAGUCAUGGUUAAGUGGGAAACGAUGUGGGAAGGCCCAGACAGCCAGGAUGUUGGCUUAGAAGCAGCCAUCAUUUAAAGAAAGCGUAAUAGCUCACUGGUCGAGUCGGCCUGCGCGGAAGAUGUAACGGGGCUAAACCAUGCACCGAAGCUGCGGCAGCGACNCUUNUGNGUUGUUGGGUAGGGGAGCGUUCUGUAAGCCUGNGAAGGUGNGNCNGUGAGGNNUGCUGGAGGUAUCAGAAGUGCGAAUGCUGACAUAAGUAACGAUAAAGCGGGUGAAAAGCCCGCUCGCCGGAAGACCAAGGGUUCCUGUCCAACGUUAAUCGGGGCAGGGUGAGUCGACCCCUAAGGCGAGGCCGAAAGGCGUAGUCGAUGGGAAACGGGUUAAUAUUCCCGUACUUGGUGUUACUGCGAAGGGGGGACGGAGAAGGCUAUGUUGGCCGGGCGACGGUUGUCCCGGUUUAAGCGUGUAGGUGUGUGUUCCAGGUAAAUCCGGUUCACUUUAACACUGAGGCGUGACGACGAGGCACUACGGUGCUGAAGCAACAAAUGCCCUGCUUCCAGGAAAAGCCUCUAAGCAUCAGGUAACAUCAAAUCGUACCCCAAACCGACACAGGUGGUCAGGUAGAGAAUACCAAGGCGCUUGAGAGAACUCGGGUGAAGGAACUAGGCAAAAUGGUGCCGUAACUUCGGGAGAAGGCACGCUGACACGUAGGUGAAGUGAUUUACUCAUGGAGCUGAAGUCAGUCGAAGAUACCAGCUGGCUGCAACUGUUUAUUAAAAACACAGCACUGUGCAAACACGAAAGUGGACGUAUACGGUGUGACGCCUGCCCGGUGCCGGAAGGUUAAUUGAUGGGGUCAGCGCAAGCGAAGCUCCUGAUCGAAGCCCCGGUAAACGGCGGCCGUAACUAUAACGGUCCUAAGGUAGCGAAAUUCCUUGUCGGGUAAGUUCCGACCUGCACGAAUGGCGUAAUGAUGGCCAGGCUGUCUCCACCCGAGACUCAGUGAAAUUGAACUCGCUGUGAAGAUGCAGUGUACCCGCGGCAAGACGGAAAGACCCCGUGAACCUUUACUAUAGCUUGACACUGAACAUUGAGCCUUGAUGUGUAGGAUAGGUGGGAGGCUUUGAAGUGUGGACGCCAGUCUGCAUGGAGCCGACCUUGAAAUACCACCCUUUAAUGUUUGAUGUUCUAACGUGGACCCGUUACCCGGGUUGCGGACAGUGUCUGGUGGGUAGUUUGACUGGGGCGGUCUCCUCCUAAAGAGUAACGGAGGAGCACGAAGGUUGGCUAAUCCUGGUCGGACAUCAGGAGGUUAGUGCAAUGGCAUAAGCCAGCUUGACUGCGAGCGUGACGGCGCGAGCAGGUGCGAAAGCAGGUCAUAGUGAUCCGGUGGUUCUGAAUGGAAGGGCCAUCGCUCAACGGAUAAAAGGUACUCCGGGGAUAACAGGCUGAUACCGCCCAAGAGUUCAUAUCGACGGCGGUGUUUGGCACCUCGAUGUCGGCUCAUCACAUCCUGGGGCUGAAGUAGGUCCCAAGGGUAUGGCUGUUCGCCAUUUAAAGUGGUACGCGAGCUGGGUUUAGAACGUCGUGAGACAGUUCGGUCCCUAUCUGCCGUGGGCGCUGGAGAACUGAGGGGGGCUGCUCCUAGUACGAGAGGACCGGAGUGGACGCAUCACUGGUGUUCGGGUUGUCAUGCCAAUGGCACUGCCCGGUAGCUAAAUGCGGAAGAGAUAAGUGCUGAAAGCAUCUAAGCACGAAACUUGCCCCGAGAUGAGUUCUCCCUGAGACUUAGAGUCUCCUGAAGGAACGUUGAAGACGACGACGUUGAUAGGCCGGGUGUGUAAGCGCAGCGAUGCGUUGAGCUAACCGGUACUAAUGAACCGUGAGGCUUAACCUUACAACGCCGAAG
rnacentral:rRNA from 1 species